CCCCCAGUAAUGGCGAAUGAACAGGGAAGAGCUCAGCAUGGAAAUCGGGGUCUCCCGACCUUGAAUUGUAGUCUUGAGAUGUACUGCCAACGGAGGCGCAGAUGUAAGCCUCUUGGAAAAGAGCAUCAACGAGGGUGAGAGUCCCGUUUGUCAUCUGCAGUCCCCCGUGCACGGUGUACCUUCUAAGAGUCACGUUCCUCGGGAUUGGAGCGCAAAGUGGGUGGUAAAUUUCAUCUAAAGCUAAAUAUUGGUUCGAGACCGAUAGCAAACAAGUACCAUGAGGGAAAGGUGAAAAGGACUUUGAAAAGAGAGUUAAAAGUGCCUGAAAUUGCUGAAAGGGAAGCGAAUGGAACCAGUGUUCUUGAUGAGAUUGUCGCGUACUCUGGUGAUUGCUGGGUGCUCCACCGCAAGGGGGGCAUUUGGUUUUGAACUAGCGGUGCGUGGUGUUUCUUGUCUUGUGUGUCACCGUCGGUGCACAAGCGAGUAAAACUCCGGAGAACUGGUAACUCGACCAUGGUUGAGUGAAUGUCUUUGGCAGUACUCAUUUGUGUAUCGAUCCCUGCGUGUCUGGUUGCAGUGUUUGAGUCGUCUGGAAGCUUCUGAAAGGACUUGUCCUCGAAGGACUUUCUAGGCACCUUGAGCAUCUCCCUGACACAAAGACGAUGACUAAAUGGUUCUAUUCGACCCGUCUUGAAACACGGACCAAGGAGUCUAACAUAUGUGCGAGUUCACGGGUGUUAAACCUGAAUGCGCAAUGAAAGUGACUGCUGGGAUUUUUGCACCAGCMACCGACCAAUCAAUUGAGAGAGGUUUGAGUAUGAGCAUAUCUGUUAGGACCCGAAAGAUGGUGAACUAUGCCUGAGAAGGGCAAAGUCAGGGGAAACUCUGAUGGAGGCUCGUAGCGAUACUGACGUGCAAAUCGUUCGUCAUAC
rnacentral:rRNA from 1 species